GAGUUUGAUCCUGGCUCAGAGUGAACGCUGGCGGCAGGCCUAACACAUGCAAGUCGAACGGCAGCGCAGCAGUAGCAAUACUGUGGGCGGCGAGUGGCGGACGGGUGAGGAAUACAUCGGAAUCUACCUCGUCGUGGGGGAUAACGUAGGGAAACUUACGCUAAUACCGCAUACGAACUACGGUUGAAAGCGGCGGACCGCAAGGCGUCGCGCGAUUGGAUGAGCCGAUGUCCGAUUAGCUAGUUGGCGGGGUAAAGGCCCACCAAGGCGACGAUCGGUAGCUGGUCUGAGAGGAUGAUCAGCCACACUGGAACUGAGACACGGUCCAGACUCCUACGGGAGGCAGCAGUGGGGGAAUAUUGGACAAUGGGCGCAAGCCUGAUCCAGCCAUGCCGCGUGUGUGAAGAAGGCCU
rnacentral:rRNA from 1 species